GACGAACGCUGGCGGCGUGCUUAACACAUGCAAGUCGAGGGCGUGGAGCAAUCCACGACCGGCGAACGGGUGCGUAACACGUGAGCGACCUGCCCUACCUGUGGGGGAUAGUCGGCCUAACGGCCGGGUAAUACCGCAUGCGUUCUCCUGGGGGCAUCUCCGGGAGAGGAAAGCUCUUUGGAGCGCAGGAGGAGGGGCUCGCGGCCUAUCAGCUUGUUGGUGGGGUAACGGCCUACCAAGGCGACGACGGGUAGCUGGUCUGAGAGGAUGGCCAGCCACAUUGGGACUGAGAGACGGCCCAGACUCCUACGGGGAGGCAGCAGUGGGGAAUCUUGCGCAAUGGCCGGGAGGCUGACGCAGCGACGCCGCGUGUGGGAGGACGCCUCGGGUCGUAACCACUGUUGCCCGGGACGAAUGCGGGGGAUCGCCCCUGUUGACGUACCGGGUGAGGAAGCACCGGCUAACGUCCGUGCCAGCAGCCGCGGUAAUGACGGAGGCUGCGAGCGUUGUCCGGAAGUCACUGGGCGUAAAGGGGCGCGAUAGGGCGGCCGGCAUCACGCGUGGGGUGAAAAGUCCGGGGCUCAACGUCCGGAUCGGCCUUGCGGACGGAGCGGCUCGAGCACUGUAGAGGCAGGUGGAAUUCCGGGUGUAGCGGUGGAAUGCGUAGAGAUCCGGAAGAACACCGGUGGCAGAA
rnacentral:rRNA from 1 species